rnacentral:rRNA from 1 species
UACAGAGGGUGCAAACGUUGUUCGGAAUUACUGGGCGUAAAGCGCGUGUAGGCGGUUCGAUAAGUCGGAUGUGAAAGCCCCGGGCUCAACCCGGGAAGUGCACUCGAUACUGUCGAGCUAGAGUAUCGGAGAGGUUGGUGGAAUUCUCGGUGUAGAGGUGAAAUUCGUAGAUAUCGAGAGGAACACCGGUGGCGAAGGCGGCCAACUGGACGAAUACUGACGCUGAGACUCGAAAGCGUGGGGAGCAAACAGG